AAUAAAGUAAAUAGCUAUAUUGAUAGGAUUAUAGCCUAGAGAUGGGGAGUACCUCUUUAUUU
rnacentral:tRNA from 1 species